rnacentral:rRNA from 1 species
AUACGUAGGGUGCAAGCGUUAAUCGGAAUUACUGGGCGUAAAGCGUGCGCAGGCGGUUUUGGAAGACAGUGGUGAAAUCCCCGGGCUCAACCUGGGAACUGCCAUUGUGAAUGCAAGGCUGGAGUGCGGCCGAGGGGGAUGGAAUUCCGCGGGUAGCAGUGAAAUGCGUAGAUAUGCGGAGGAACACCGAUGGCGAAGGCAAUCCCCUGGGCCUGCACUGACGCUCAUGCACGAAAGCGUGGGGAGCAAACAGGAUUAGAUACCCUGGUAGUCCACUCCCUAAACGAUGUCAACUGGUUGUUGGGGAUUUAUUUUCUCAGUAACGAAGCUAACGCGUGAAGUUGACCGCCUGGGGAGUACGGCCGCAAGGUUAAAACUCAAAGGAAUUGACGGGG